rnacentral:rRNA from 1 species
GAUGAACGCUGGCGGCGUGCCUAAUACAUGCAAGUCGAGCGAACGGACGAGAAACUUGUUUCUCUGAUGUUAGCGGCGGACGGGCGAGUAACACGUGGAUAACCUACAUAUAAGACUGGGAUAACUUCGGGAAACCGGAGCUAAUACCGGAUGAUAUUUUGAACCGAAUGGUUCAAAAGUGAAAGACGGUCUUGCUGUCACUUAUAGAUGGAUCCGCGCUGCAUUAGCUAGUUGGUAAGGUAACGGCUUACCAAGGCAACGAUGCAUAGCCGACCUGAGAGGGUGAUCGGCCACACUGGAACUGAGACACGGUCCAGACUCCUACGGGAGGCAGCAGUAGGGAAUCUUCCGCAAUGGGCGAAAGCCUGACGGAGCAACGCCGCGUGAGUGAUGAAGGUCUUCGGAUCGUAAAACUCUGUUAUUAGGGAAGAACAUAUGUGUAAGUAACUGUGCACAUCUUGACGGUACCUAAUCAGAAAGCCACGGCUAACUACGUG